UGGCCUCAAAUCAGGUAGGACUACCCGCUGAACUUAA
rnacentral:rRNA from 4 species